rnacentral:rRNA from 1 species
GACGUAGGGGGCCAGCGUUGUUCGGAAUUACUGGGUGUAAAGGGUUCGUAGGCGGUGUGGCAAGUCGGGAGUGAAAUCUCUGGGCUCAACCCAGAGUCUGCUUCCGAAACUGCUGUGCUUGAGUGUGGGAGAGGCGCGUGGAAUUGCAGGUGUAGCGGUGAAAUUCGUAGAUAUUCGGAAGAACACCAGUGGCGAAGGCGGCUCACUGGCCCGGUACUGACGCUGAGGUGCGAAAGCGUGGGGAGCAAACAGG